ensembl:lncRNA
CUGGGAGGAGGGCCCCUCGCCACGGCCCACAAUGCUUUGUCGCAUCCCCCCGUGGGACGCGGCGCCACCUUUCCUCCGCCCCGCGUCCCCACGUUUCACCCACGUGUAAACAGGCGCGCGCGCGGUUUGGGCGGAAACUGAGAAAAGGCAACUGCCGCCAUCUGUCGUGGACGUAAGGAUUUCCCUGCUGGAGCGCCGCAGACGCUCCCGGGAGGCGGAGACGAUGGAGCGAGCCUCAUCUCGACUUUUUCCCUCCUCGUCUCCUUCGUUUGGUCGGAACUUGAGUCCACAGGCCGCAGAUGUCUCCCUGUUCAUUCCUUCCCUGCAUCUUUUCUCCCCUCCACACCUCACGUCCGUCCUCUGAGUGAGGAGCUCACCUCACGCUCUCUCCCUCAUGUACAGACGGACGGACGGACGGACGGACGGAAAGGUGGAUUUGUCGCUCCACCUCUUCGCUGUUAUGAUAUCGAGCGCCAGCCCACUCCUGUCAUCACUGUCGCGGCAAACAGAUUGCCUUUACACUCUGCCACUUUACUCGUCUGAAUAGCUCUCUCUUCCCUCCCUUCGACUAUUUUUCUUUUAUUUCCCCUUAAGCUCCCUUCCCGCUCUCCUCUUGUCUCCAGAGCUUCAUUUUUCUCCCUACCUCUGGCAUAUAAGCAACUCUGGCGUGACAUAAGCGAUCAAUUUAACAAUAUAUAUUGAGCAGGGGUCCCGGGAGAAAUUUGUAAUCAAGAAGUGUAUUGAUCCAGUGUAUUAUUCUGUAGUUUGCUGUUGGAACACAGUCACAUAAUAAUGCUUGAUUAUGGGCAGAUGCGCAAAAAUGAGACAAAGUAGAAGCUGGGGCCGAGCUCCUCCGAGGACAGAGCAGGGAAUCAGACGGACUCUCUGAAGAGGACGUGUUUGCUCUGUGUUUUUUCCAGCUUCGGGCGCAGGAGGAUGACUGACAGCCUCCAAAGCAGAAGUGUACACUAUCACGAUGUGGUUGCGAUAAAGGAUGACCACGCACCAUAGUGCUGAAUAAUGGAUGGAGAUAAACGGAUGGAAAACAUGCCGUAUAGGCUCAAUUUCAGAUAAUCUCCGUCCCACUGAGCAAGAUGCAUCAGACUACAACAGGAAGUGAUUCUUUUGCCUUAUUGGACCUUUUGCUGAACUUUUUUUUUUUUGCAUUAACUUGAGCAGAUGGAUCGUACUGUACUGUAGGUAGUGCUGCAAUGGUGGCAUCUAUCUGUCUGUUGUUAAAUGGGGCUUCACACUUUUAAACUUUAGUUAAUUCGCCUGAACCGAAGAGUCCGAGUCGGACGAACAUCCGUCCGAACCGUCAUCUUCCAGUUUGAAACGAGCUCUCCCUUCCCAGUUCGCAGGAGUCUCUUACCUCAGGCUGCUGAAAACUCAUUAUCUCCAUACAAACUUUGAAAUGUAAUCUCACAGAGAACAAGGGAACAUUUGGAAGCUCGCACAGGAGGGAACCCGUCAUUACGGGUCUGCACAAUAGAACUGAUUGCACUAAACAGGAACCAUUACCAGGACAGGACUUCUGUACCAA